AACGAACGCUGGCGGCGUGCUUAACACAUGCAAGUCGAACGGGAAGGCCCUGCUUUUGGGGGGUGCUCGAGUGGCGAACGGGUGAGUAACACGUAGGUAACCUGCCCUUGACUUUGGGAUAACUUCAGAAAACUGGGGCUAAUACCGGAUAGGAGCUCCUGCUGCUGGGUGGGGGUUGGAUAGUUUCGCCGGUUGGGAAUGGACUGGCGGCUUAUGAGCUUGUUGGAUGGGUGGUGGCUUACCAGGGCUUGGCCGGGUGGCCGGCCUGAGAGGGUCACCGGCCACACUGGGACUGAGAUACGGCCCAGACUCCUACGGGAGGCAGCAGUGGGGAAUAUUGCAUAAUGGGCGGAAGCCUGAUGCAGCAACGCCGCGUGCGGGAUGACGGCCUUCGGGUUGUAAACCGCUUUCGCUUGUGACGAAGCGUGAGUGACGGUAAUGGGUAAAGAAGCACCGGCUAACUACGUG
rnacentral:rRNA from 1 species